rnacentral:rRNA from 1 species
ACGGCUCAGUAACACGUGGACAACCUGCCCUUAGGACGGGGAUAAACCCGGGAAACUGGGUAUAAUACCCGAUAGGUCUCGAUUGCUGGAAUGCAUCGAGAUUUAAAGCUCCGGCGCCUAAGGAUGGGUCUGCGGCCUAUCAGGUAGUAGUGGGUGUAGCGUACCUACUAGCCUACGACGGGUACGGGUUGUGAGAGCAAGAGCCCGGAGAUGGAUUCUGAGACACGAAUCCAGGCCCUACGGGGUGCAGCAGGCGCGAAAACUUUACAAUGCUGGCAACAGCGAUAAGGGAACCUCGAGUGCCAGGUUACAAAUCUGGCUGUCGAGAUGCCUAAAAAGCAUUUCAUAGCAAGGGCCGGGCAAGACCGGUGCCAGCCGCCGCGGUAACACCGGCGGCUCGAGUGGUAACCGUUAUUAUUGGGUCUAAAGGGUCUGUAGCCGGCCGGAUAAGUCUCUUGAGAAAUCUGGCAGCUUAACUGUCAGGCUUUCAGGAGAUACUGUCUGGCUCGAGGCCGGGAGAGGUGAGAGGUACUUCAGGGGUAGGGGUGAAAUCUUGUAAUCCUUGAAGGACCACCAGUGGCGAAGGCGUCUCACCAGAACGGACCUGACGGCAAGGGACGAAGGCUAGGGGCACGAACCGGAUUAGAUACCCGGGUAGUCCUAGCCGUAAACGAUACUCGCUAGGUGUCGGCCACGGUGCGACCGUUGUCGGUGCCGUAGGGAAGCCGUGAAGCGAGCCACCUGGGAAGUACGGCCGCAAGGCUGAAACUUAAAGGAAUUGGCGGGGGAGCAC